CUGGCAGCCUAGGAAUAGGGAUUAGGGAAGGGUGAGCUUUUGAUUCAAUGAUGGCCGCCAAAAGGGGAAGGGUCGUCAUCUGUCAUCACUCUAUCAUAAUUAUCAAGAUAAAUGGAGACAAAGCACAAAAAUAAAAAUCACCUUGGACUGGGAUCAAGGUGUUGCAAUAUACAAUGUCCUCUGAGGUUUAAUGGAAUUGGAAGCUUAAUGAAAUAAUGUGCUGAAUUGUUGACUUUUGAUCAGAAAGUAGUAACAAACGACACUAGUAAAAACAAAGUAUAUUUUGAAGAAGUAAUAUGUAUGUCUGUAGGAUUCGUUCAUUGCCGUCACCAUUCUCAAUGUGAUGCUACAUUAGAAGAGAAAAAAUAUAAGAGUAUGGCUUUUUACGUUGUCGUUAAAGGAAGGAAACGAGGUAUCUUUCGUUCAUGGCCUGAGUGUGAGUCUCAAGUAGAUGGUUAUCCUGGCUGUUUCUUCAAGAAAUUCACCAUUAGUAACUUUGGAUGUCGAGAGAAGGCUUCUGCAUCAGCAGCUCUCGAGUAUAAAAAACAUACAGCCAAUAAAAGACUCAGUGACAAAGAAGGAAGAACUUAUUUUGCAGUAGCAGAAGGCAAAGACAAAGUUACUGGAAUAUUUUUUAAGAAGGAAGACUGUGAUAUGCAUGUGAAUUGUUCAUUUCCCAUAUACAAGGGCUUUGAGACCCUACAAGAAGCAGCUGCAUUCAUAAUAUCUUGUUUGCAACAAAGAGCAGUGGAAUUCAAAAAGCAGUGUCCAGUUCGUUCAGAUAGAGUUCGUGAUUUACGAAAUUUACCCACUAGAUUUUUCAAGUGGCCUUUCCACGUCGAUAGUGAGGGAUUCGUGCAAGUGUAUGUUGACGGAUCUUGUUUCGAGAACGGGAAAAAUGGGGCAAAAGCUGGACUCGGGGUGUUCUUCGGGACUGGACAUGCGAUGAAUGUCAGCAAAGCUGUUCAAUCCGAUAGCACGCAAUCCAACAAUUCUGGGGAAUUGCAGGCCGUCAAAGAAGCCCUUCGAGUAGCUAAGCAAUGUGGGAUAAAGAAACUCAAGAUUCAUUCCGAUUCCCAGUACGUCAUUAAAUGCUUCAAAUAUUGGGUAAAAAGUUGGCAAGCUAAAGGAUGGACGACAUCUGCAUCGACACCUGUUAAAAACCAAAAGGUUAUCGAAGAAAUCUGCGACAUAUGGAAUUCCGAAAACAUUCAGAUCGAAUGGAAUUUCGUUCCAGCCCAUAGAGGGAUCAGGGGCAACGAAGCCGCAGAUAGACUUGCUAAAAUCGGGGCGAAGCGUGCUGUCCGCGGUACUCCUUAUUAACCUUCCACCACAUGGUCCCUUAUCGUUAUCAGUCAAGUACGUAAUUUACGAACGAGGGACCACUACAGCUUUAAAGCCACUGUAGCCCACUGUAAAUCCAUUGAUGGGGUCUAAACUCGGAAGAGGCUCAUUUUGUACAGGUUCAAAUCGAAACUUUUUGAUCAAAGCAGCCGUGAAGAGAAAAUAGCAAAGAAUUGUUCCGUUGAUUAAUACCAAUGCCAAACGGAUAGAAGUGAUCACUUUUAAUCACUUUCGUGCCAUCUUCAUUCAAAUGGCGUUC
rnacentral:misc_RNA from 1 species